rnacentral:lncRNA from 1 species
GAGCAAGGACGCCUAAAAAAUGUGACGAAACUUGCAUUGAAGGUUGGCAAAAUCAAAACAGUUUCUGCGAUUCUCCGUGCCUAUCAAAUCUCUUAAUUUUGAAUAUGGCCUCGAACAAAUCGCAACAUAUCAAUCUACAAUCGUAAUUGUUAGGGUUUAAUGUUUUUUUAGUGAUCAAUUUGUUUGUCAUCUCUUUUUUUGCAAAUAAAGAGAAAAGCCAAUUUGCAGAGCAAGGGCGCCUAACAAAUGUGACGAAACUUGCAUUGAAGGUUGGCGAAAUUAAAAAAGUUUCUGUGAUUCUCCGUGCCUAUCAAAUUUUUUAAUUUUGAAUACGGCCUCGAACAAAUCGCAACAUU